UGGUUGAGCCUUAUGGCUCCAAUACUGGGAGACGUGGUCGUAAGACUCCUCGAGAGUCAGACUCUCUUGAGGAGCGAGAGAGGAAACGGCUGCGGGACAUAUUUGCAGAAUCAACUGACGAAGACUCCUUUGAGGGUUUUACCGAGAGAAUGGAGGAAGAGGUGGUUAGCUCAGAGGAGGAUGACAUGGAAUGGACUCGUGUGAGAGAGGAUUUGGGUGUUCCUGGUAAUGAUAGCAUGGGAAGCGACUGGCGGGUUGCAGGAUCGGACCCGUGGACGAGCUGGAGGGAUGGAACGGGAUCCACAGCUGGGGAUGCUGUGGGGCGUAGUCAAAGAUGUUUUAGCUCUGAUGAGGAUGAUGAUGAUGAGGCACCUGGAAUUAGGGUAACAGCUGAUAGCGAUGAGGAGUUGUAACUGGCAUAAAAUGUGGUCUUGAAUCCAGGGCUAAUUGCGUUGGGCAAGGUAAUCUGGACAAACGCUUGGGCUCUUGUUGGGAAUUUCCUGAAGACGGGUGUGUUUCGUUUGCUGAAUACCUUGGACCUCCGUCGUCUUCUUGACGGACAUUAUUUACCUACUCGGAAUUGACGCUGGACUGGCUGACUGACUGACUGACUGACUGACUACGACCUUGGACUACCCUUUCUUUGGCUAUCGGUGGAAUUCGUGGAACCUAAGACGCCUGCACCUGGCUAUCGACCUCGGACCGGACUGGGACCCCGCUGACCGCUGCAACCCUGAUUGAUGUAUUUGGACCCGGAGUUCGCCCGCUACACGGAGGAGUAACAACUUAGUUACUCAACCACAGCUGUUGAGUAGCAGAGAGGAAUCUGCUGCCAGUAUUUAUGUUUUGUUGAAUCUUUGUUUACCAGCUUUUGUUUGUUUAAAGUGCCAGGCUGAAGUAAGCAUUUUUGGUUUAACCCGGAUUAAACUCCUGUUUAAUCCGGUUUAUCUUUUGAACCGUUUUGAGUGACUUUUCAUAUUGAAGGCGAGUGUUUGCCUAGCUCUUUGUUUUUUAUGAGCAUUUUUUGGUUCUGUAUCUUUAAUAAACUGUGUUGAAUCUUA